rnacentral:rRNA from 1 species
CCUGCGGAGGGAUCAUUACCGAGUUUACAACUCCCAAACCCAAUGUGAACGUUACCAAACUGUUGCCUCGGCGGGAUCUCUGCCCCGGGUGCGUCGCAGCCCCGGACCAAGGCGCCCGCCGGAGGACCAACCAAAACUCUUAUUGUAUACCCCCUCGCGGGUUUUUUUAUAAUCUGAGCCUUCUCGGCGCCUCUCGUAGGCGUUUCGAAAAUGAAUCAAAACUUUCAACAACGGAUCUCUUGGUUCUGGCAUCGAUGAAGAACGCAGCGAAAUGCGAUAAGUAAUGUGAAUUGCAGAAUUCAGUGAAUCAUCGAAUCUUUGAACGCACAUUGCGCCCGCCAGUAUUCUGGCGGGCAUGCCUGUCCGAGCGUCAUUUCAACCCUCGAACCCCUCCGGGGGGUCGGCGUUGGGGAUCGGCCCUGCCUUGGCGGUGGCCGUCUCCGAAAUACAGUGGCGGUCUCGCCGCAGCCUCUCCUGCGCAGUAGUUUGCACACUCGCAUCGGGAGCGCGGCGCGUCCACAGCCGUUAAACACCCAACUUCUGAAAUGUUGACCUCGGAUCAGGAUGCAUACCC